rnacentral:ncRNA from 1 species
CUGGUUCCGGUUCACGUCCCCGAUCGGUGGCGACCCGGCGACC